CACCCACAAACGUCACCGACAUGGGGGGGUGUGGAUAAAUAACACAGCUGAGGAACAUCAUGCCACUAUGGUUUCAAAGAUCGCUGAGCAAUCUCAACCUAGUGUCACACAUCCAUUGUCUGAGGAGCAGAUUUCUAGAGAAGUACUUGGGAAGAGGUCGGUCUUCUUGAAGGGAUACGGGAUCCGCAAGGACAGUACUUCAUCUUCUACACAUUUUGAGGCUCCUAACUCCGAGGUGAUUGUUCUUCAACAGCAGUUAGUUGACCAGCGACAACAAUUAGCUGACCAAGGAAAGCAGUUAGUUGACCAGGCUCAAAACAUGAGUACAAUGCAAACUAUCAUUCAAAUGUUGGUAGCAAAAAAUGGGAUAGAUCUAGCAAACAUUCCGGGGUUAGUUCCAAGCAACAAUGUCGGGGAGGAUGCAUCGAAUGUAAGGGAGGAUGAAACUUCUCUCGGUUGAAAUAGAGGUUGGUGAUGGAUGUUCAUGGCUCAGUAGUGAUAUAUAUCUUUUUGCACGUUGGCAUUCAUUUAAUUUUUCUUUGUUUCGUUUUAUAGGUUUUUCUGUUGAAUGUUUAUAUACUUUUUGGAAUUAUUAUGUUUGGGAUUGUUGGAUAUAGUUAGACGCAUUUUAGGAUUCUUAUGUUUAGUACAGUUGGAUAUUUGAAUAAAAUUUGGGAUAUUGAAAUGCAUUUGAUAUUAAUUUGGUUACAUUACUAAUUGUUAUGAUGUAUUCAGUUUAGUUUUUACGCAAUGUUAUGUAAAGGUUUUUUUGGAAUGUUUUAUAGAGAAAUAUGGGUUGCUUAGAAAUACGCGUUCAGGAAAUGGAUCAAUUAGGGUUUAGGUGUAGUAUGAAUUGCUAAGUAAUAAUAGGUCAUGGGAAGCUAAGAUUGAAUUUGUUUUAGAUGGCUAGGCUGACAAUAUUUUAAUCAUCAGGAAAAAAGUAUAGGGUGUCAAUGUGUCUUAUUGUAUCUUGCAUUUUUUAUAUUCAUUUGCAGUAACUUGUUUUCAAAUUCUUUUUUUGUUCCCAAAAGAA